ACCAAUGUGGUGUAGUGGUUUGAGCACUGGACUACAAUUCUGGAGGCCAGAGUUUGAAUCCCUGGCCAUGGAA